UACAGAGACUGCAAGCGUUAUUCGGAUUCACUGGGCGUAAAGGGUGCGCAGGCGGCCAAGUGUGUGAGGCGUGAAAGCCUGGGGCUUAACCCCAGAAUUGCACCCCAAACUACUUGGCUAGAGCAUUGGAGAGGGUGGCAGAAUUCAUGGUGUAGCAGUGAAAUGCGUAGAUAUCAUGAGGAAUACCAGAGGCGAAGGCGGCUACCUGGACAAUUGCUGACGCUCAGGCACGAAAGCGUGGGGAGCAAAAGGG
rnacentral:rRNA from 1 species